AGGACGAACGCUGGCGGCGUGCCUAACACAUGCAAGUCGCACGAGUCCACUCCUUCGGGAGUGAGGCGAGUGGCGGACGGGUGAGUAACACGUGAGCAAUCUGUCCCGCUGCGGGGGGAUAACCCGGGGAAACUCGGGCUAAUACCGCAUGGUCGGCUGAGAGGAUCUCUUAGCCGGGAAAGGUGGCCUCUUUACAAUGCUACCGUGACGGGAGGAGCUCGCGGGCUAUCAGCUAGUUGGUGCGGUCACGGCGCACCAAGGCAACGACGGCUAACGGGGUCUGAGAGGACGACCCCGCACAUUGGAACUGAGACACGGUCCAGACCUCCUACGGGAGGCAGCAGGUGGGAAUUUUGGGCAAGUGGCCGAAAGGCUGACCCGAGCGACGCCGCGUGCGGGAGGACGCCUCGGGUGUAACCGCGUGCGGGGCGGAACGGCAAGGAGGAA
rnacentral:rRNA from 1 species